rnacentral:rRNA from 1 species
CCCUGGCUCAGGACGAACGCAGGCGGCGUGCCUAAUACAUGCAAGUCGAGCGAACCAACAGGAGCUUGCUCCUGUUGGUUAGCGGCGGACGGGUGAGUAACACGUGGGCAACCUGCCUGUAAGACUGGGAUAACACCGGGAAACCGGUGCUAAUACCGGAUAAUCCUUUUCCUCUCAUGAGGAAAAGCUGAAAGUCGGUUUCGGCUGACACUUACAGAUGGGCCCGCGGCGCAUUAGCUAGUUGGUGAGGUAACGGCUCACCAAGGCGACGAUGCGUAGCCGACCUGAGAGGGUGAUCGGCCACACUGGGACUGAGACACGGCCCAGACUCCUACGGGAGGCAGCAGUAGGGAAUCUUCCACAAUGGACGAAAGUCUGAUGGAGCAACGCCGCGUGAGCGAUGAAGGCCUUCGGGUCGUAAAGCUCUGUUGUUAGGGAAGAACAAGUACCGGAGUAACUGCCGGUACCUUGACGGUACCUAACCAGAAAGCCACGGCAACUA